UACGUAGGGGGCAAGCGUUGUCCGGAAUUAUUGGGCGUAAAGAGCUCGUAGGCGGCUUGUCACGUCGGAUGUGAAAGCCCGGGGCUUAACCCCGGGUCUGCAUUCGAUACGGGCUAGCUAGAGUGUGGUAGGGGAGAUCGGAAUUCCUGGUGUAGCGGUGAAAUGCGCAGAUAUCAGGAGGAACACCGGUGGCGAAGGCGGAUCUCUGGGCCAUUACUGACGCUGAGGAGCGAAAGCGUGGGGGGAGCGAACAGG
rnacentral:rRNA from 1 species